GCCAUAUUGAGUAGCGUACCCCGGAAGAAAACAUUAUUUUUGUAUUAAACUUAGAUGGCGUUUGUCAUUCAGCGGGCUGUAGGUUGUGUAGUGUAUUCCGCAAGAGGUCGCUGCCACUAGAAGAGUUGUAGACGUUGUAGUUGUUAGGUGUAGUUCUUAGUUUUUCUUAUACGAGCGGAUAGAUGGCGCAAUAAUUUGUAUACUACCGCAUCAUUUGCGUUUCUAUGUGUGAACAGCGCAUCUGUACACGUGUCAUUGUGUGAGUUAGUUGCUUUGCUUUGCAGUAAACAUUCGAUGUUUUAGAUAAAAAUGGUCUUCACUUCACAGCAAGAUGUGUUAUUGUUAAUCGUGUAAACACUAGCAGAAGUAGUGACUGCAAAUUUUAUAGAUUUCCAAAAGUAGUGUGGAAACAAGAACAGCGCAAUAAAUGGAUAAUUGCCGUAAGGAGAAAAAAAUCCCGAUGGAUCUCUAUGGCACCCAAUUUGCAGUGCUCACUUUAUCGGUGGUAGAAAGGCUGAUGAACAAGUCAGUCCCAGUUAUGUUCCAAGGAUAUUUCCCCCGCAGUAAAAAACAAAACGGAUUGACGAAAAUGCGGCAAUAUCGAGGUUUCAACGUUAUAUGGAACGAAGAAAC